GCAGCUGUGGCUCAGGUGGUAGAGCAUACCACUAAUCGUAGGGUUGGUGGUUCGAUUCCCGAGUGACU